ensembl:lncRNA
AAGUCAAGCUGGACAUUUUUUCUAGAUCAUCAUCUGCUAAACCCUCUUCUAACUGGGAGGGGAAAAAAAGAUAGGCAAAGCAUGCAGGCCAAACCUUUUAUUAUUUUCAACUAGUCGCCAAACAAAUGUCCACGACGUGUCUUUGGGUAGUGGUGCUAGACUAGGCACAGAAACUUGAAGAAUGGGCCACAUCCCUAUAAAAGGGGUCAAAUACAGAAGCUAGAAGGCCCAAGCAGACGAUGGUACAGAGGGGUGAGAGCAGGGACAAAGACCGUGCACGUGCUGCACGAGUGAAGUAAGGGAGGCGGCCCGUCCCACCUGGGCAUGCUGAAGGGCUGCGAGGGGCAGGGGCAGUGGCCCUGAGCUGGCUUGAAAAUGAGCCGGAGUUUGCCAGUCAGGAGAGGGACGGGAGUGUCGUCGCAGGAGGGCAGCCUGGGACUGUUGGGAGUGUCCUCUCGGGAGGUGUCUGCUCCUCUCACCCGACCCCUCUUGCCACUUUCUCCCCCAGGCAUCUCCUCGUAUUUGCAGAAUCAGAUUCUGCCCUCGUAUUUAUCGAUCACGGUCACGGUUGCUGGGGAAGGGGAAGCAGGAGGGGUGAGGAAAACGUGCCCAGGGGACUGAGGAAAUGAGGAUGAAGCGCCCUCCCAGGACAUCUUACCUACCAGAGGCUGCCGAUUUCUGAUACCCGGCAAUUUGCACGCUCCCGGGAAGCAUGUGCUUGUGAAAUGUUUCGUGAACGAAGGAAAGAGGUGUAGCUGCCCAGAUUCCUGCUGCGGCCCCAGGGAACCUUGCGGUGUUUCCCAAUCCCGCCAGAAGUGGAGUAAAGUUGUGUUUGACAAUCAUUGCCUCAAGUUGCUCGACGAACUAACGUUUCUGGCUUAGAACAGUUUGCUGGCCCUGGGAGAAGCAGAGCCAGUGACUGGUGAGAGAGAGAACUUAGAAGUGACAGAGUUGCCUCCUCAGCCUACGCUUGGGGAUCCCUUCCCUGUCCCCCAGCUUUGCUUAGCCUUGGAACUCGCCGGCACCUACUGGAGAGGUGGGGAGCAAGUACAGCAAAUGUCUGUCAGGCAAGAGAGCAAGGAAUGAAAAUGAAAAUGCCAUAGAAAGCUGCCAGGAUUAGACACAGAUGGGUCAGGAGCCAAGCAAAGUUCACCAUGGGCCCUUGAGAAUGUCUCUUGGUAUUUCUGACAAUACAAAAUCAAUUUACAUUUAUUUAAAAAAAUUUUAUUGGUAUAUUUUAGGUACACAAUAUAAUGACAUUCAUCACUGGAAAUUUGUACCUUCACAUAAUCUUUCUUGGUUCUUAUUUUUCCCCCUUCCCGUGCUCUCCUUUAAACCCCUCCAUCCCUUCCUAUUUACAAAGAUUUUGUUUCCAUUUUUUCAUUUUCUCAUAUUAAUUCCAUUCCCUUCUUUCCUUUCCUUAUACAUUUAAUACAUUUUAAAAUAGCUAACCUGCCCAUAUUACUUGCUAUUACUAUGGGAAGAUAAAAUUGAAUCUUAAUGUGGUUCACGAGUGUAUUCAAUGGAGAUUUAUUAUUUCUAAAAAUGCUUUGUGUAAUCACAGUACUUUAUCAUUGAAAUGUUGAGGUUUUGUGAUAUAAAUUAGCUUCAUAAUUAAAAUGCUAUUGUCUACUAAUGCUACCACAGCAUUUUCCCCAAGGCAGAGACACUCUUAAAAAAAAAAAAAAAAAAUCCUAUACACUGUCAAGGAUGAGUGAGCUCCUCUUAAGAGAGUCCUCCUUCACAUCCCUUAUUUAUUAAUACUGCUUUAUUCUCCCCUGGAUUGACCGUAUCAGAAUGAGUGCUAAUGAAGCCAAAGAGCACAAAAUUGGAAGUAGUCGUCAUCUCAGCCAAGGGGUGCAGUGGUCUGCAGAAUACCCACACCUCUGGUUUUACAGUGGCAUUGCUUCCUGAGGCUCAUCAAACGAUGUGGUUAGGGAAAUCAUAAAAGUAUAGAGAGAUAUACGAUCCAGUCUUUUGAAGUUCCAGGGGUCAGGGAUGUGGCUUUACUGGUAGUGCAUUCACUCAGUGCACAUAGGCUCUAGGUUUGACCACAUGUGUGGCAAAAAAUACAAACAAGAAGUUCCUGUUUGGCCAGAGUAGCUGAUUCCGCGUGGUUUUAGGGGAGGGACUGGGAAAGGUGUAAGGAAGGCACAGAAAAGCUGGGCUGACAGUGACCUGGGCUGGAAGGACGGUGGAAAAGAGCCAGGAAAUAUUCCUCCUGGUGUCUCGGCUGUUACAACCCAGGUGGUCAAGAACAAAAGACGAGUUUUGGGGCAUGCUGCUCUUGAAAGCACAGUAUAUUUCAACUGCAGAGACAAAGCAGCCCCCAGGUGCCUAAAAGAAACCAGACUCCGUGGGCUCAGGCAAACUGGGCAUUGGAACUUAAAUGCUCAUAAUCACCUCCCAUCCUGGUUGUCCUUUAGGUUGCUGUUUAUGCAAAGAUGAUAAAAUGGAACUGAUUAGAGCAGAGGCAUUCGCCCUUCUGCUACUAAGAACUCUCUUCAUUUUGCCGGAUCCUCAUCUCGGCAAAGGAAAUCAUAAACGUUUCUCUACUUUGAUUAGACACAGCAUCUGACCAGCAUAAAAGGCCACGUACUGCCUGCCCUACAGUGCUGAUAUACUUCUAGCCAAAAGGGAGGGCACAGGGGAUUUCAGGUACAGGAAACAACCCCGAAGCAGGGCCAGCUAUGAUUAUUGUUAAAUGCUUUGAAAUCUUUAAAAUAGCCUGAGGACUCCUUGCGCUGUUGUGAACCCUCUCC